rnacentral:rRNA from 1 species
AGCAGCCGCGGUAAUUCCAGCUCCAAUAGCGUAUAUUAAAGUUGUUGCAGUUAAAAAGCUCGUAGUUGAAUUUCGGGAUUGACGUGAUGGUCGUGCCUUACGGGGUAUGAACUGUCGCAGUUGAUUUCUCACCUUCUGGAGAAGCUCGAUGUCCUUAAUUGGGUGUCUUGCGGAACCAGGACCUUUACCUUGAAAAAUUAGAGUGUUUAAAGCAGGCAUUUUGCUCGAAUACAUUAGCAUGGAAUAAUAGAAUAGGACGGCAUGGUUCUAUUUUGUUGGUUUCUAGGAUCACCGUAAUGAUUAAUAGGGAUAGUUGGGGGCAUUAGUAUUCAAUUGUCAGAGGUGAAAUUCUUGGGUUUAUUGAAGACUAACUACUGCGAAAGCAUUUGCCAAGGAUGUUUUCAUUAAUCAAGAACGAAAGUUAGGGGAUCGAAGACGAUCAGAUACCGUCGUAGUCUUAACCAUAAACUAUGCCGACUAGGAAUCAGACGAUGUUAAUUUUUAAUGACUCGUUUGG